rnacentral:rRNA from 1 species
UUGAACGCUGGCGGCAUGCUUUACACAUGCAAGUCGCACGGCAGCGGGGAGGAGCUUGCUUCUCUGCCGGCGAGUGGCGAACGGGUGAGUAAUACAUCGGAACGUGUCGAGAAGAGGGGGAUAACCACCCGAAAGGGUGGCUAAUACCGCAUAAAUUCUGAGGAAGAAAGCUGGGGACCUGGGAAUAGGCCUAGCGCUUUUUGAGCGGCCGAUGUCGGAUUAGCUAGUUGGUGAGGUAAAGGCUCACCAAGGCGAAGAUCUGUAGCGAGUCUGAGAGGAUGAUCCGCCACACUGGGACUGAGACACGGCCCAGACUCCUACGGGAGGCAGCAGUGGGGAAUUUUGGACAAAGGGGGCAACCCUGAUCCAGCCAUGCCGCGUGUAUGAAGAAGGCCUUAGGGUUGUAAAGUACUUUUGUUAGGGAAGAAAAGUCAGCUGUGAAUAAUGGCUGAUACUGACGGUACCUAAAGAAUAAGCACCGGCUAACUACGUG